rnacentral:lncRNA from 1 species
GGUCUCUUAGAGAGAAAAGGGAGCUUGUGUUCUCAUCUUUUCUCCAAAAGAAACCCUAAUGAAGAAAAGGCUAUAAAGUCAUAUUUAUACCUACCUUCAAUGGAGUGGCAAACUUGUAAUAAGCCCAAAACUCACUCCUUUAUCAAUAUGGCCGGCCAUAGGGUUUUAUUGGGUUGUUUGGGCCUUUUUGAAUUAUUAGUCAUUAAGUUGUCGUACAACUUAAGUCAAUGGGCUUAACGUUCGAAGCCCAUUGGGCUUUGAGGCCCAAAACUAACUCGAGGUCUUUAACAAACUUUAUUCAUUUGAUUAAUUAACAUAUUAAUUAAUCCUUGCCAUAAAUAAUUAAACCAUUUAAUUAUCCUUACUCAUCUCCGUUGUUUCUUCAAUCUCUACCUUACACGGUGUACGAUCCAUUAGGUUCCUUAUAGCGAGGCAGUGGGCGAUUAGAACUCUUCCAAAUCGAUUGUGAAUUGAAACUUACUUUCAAAUCUCCCUUUAGUGAUUAUACACGUUUGGGGCUUCGACAAACAAUGAGUGACACCUAGCAGUAUGUCAUAGUUACCCAAGCUAAUCAGAAAAGGUGGAGAACCUAUUCAAUUUAGGAUUACAAUGCAAUACGGUCUUUCUCUAAUACAAUACUCUUGACCACAUUGUUUGGUUUGAUAGUUUAUUCAUGUCUACUAUCCAAUAUGAUUCUCUUACUUAUAUGAUUACCUUGAAUGUGAUUUGGAACGAUUUCCUAAAUCUCAUUCAUACUCUGGCCAGAGAUUCUUAAUCAUAUCAUAGAGUAUUCUCCCUCAAACGGUUUAAAGGUUAGAGAUCCCUUGUUGCACAUUCACUUGCCUCCAUGGUUAAGUGGCUUAACCCCAACUAUGUCGUGGACACCCUCUGACAGAGUGACCUUGACAUAGUCAAAGAUCAAGGACCUAACCACAAGACAACUAUGAUGCCUCAGGUUAAAGGAUUACUUUGCAUUAUCCCAACCAUGAGUUCUCAUGUGACAUGAGUAUGAGAACUCCUUGUUGAUCGUGUUCAGUGGACUCAUUCUCUAUUAAG